CAGAAACUGACUGAGACUGACUACAAAGGGGACGAAUAUGCUCUUGGGCAAGUAGAUCAGGACCCUACGCAAUGCCACUCCCUUACAUGCUCCUGUCCAACCUCUCUGGACAUUAGGGGGUCACACCUCAUAAAGUUGAAGAAAUGCAGCCCUCCCGGAGGAAGUGAGUAGAGGAGAAGCAGAUGAGGAAGUUGAGGCAUGGAGCUGUUGAGGAAAUGAGACACCAGGAAGCCAAUGCAACCUGACUGGAAAGUCCAGUCUGCUAACCCGUAUACUACUGUAACCUGUUUCCCAAAGACAAACGAGAAACGCGAACUGAAACAUCCGGACUGUGCUGAAUAGCCGAGAAAAAGGAUCGCAGUCAAAUCGCCAAGACCCAGCGGUCCUCCUGUCUCUGUCCCAGCCACCUCCAGGGCUGGCGCUAGAGCCGUGCACACCAUACCUUGUUUUGGGGUUGGAUGCUGGAGUUCUGAACUCAGCACACACGGCAAGCCCCAGAUCUACUGGGCCACCUCACAAGUCCCUUCCUUUGCUUUUUUAAAAAAUGUUUUACAGUUAUCUAUUUCCUUCUUAUCUGUAGAAGCAAUUUUGCCUGCGUGUAUGUUUGUGCACCACGUGCAUGCCUGCUUCCUGUACAAGUCAUUAGAGGGCAUCAGAUUCCUUGGAAGCAGAUUUAUGGAUUAUUAAAAGGGACCGAGUGGAUGCUGGGAAACAAACCUGGGUAUCCCUUAAUUGACCCACUGUGCAAGAGAAGCAAGCCCUCUUCUCCACUGAACCAAGUCUAUGGUCCCCUUCUUUUGUUUCUUGAUAAUGUAUUUGUGGUGAACUGAUGCUAUUUUCGAAAACUUGAAGCUAAAUAAAGCGUA
ensembl:lncRNA